GCGGACGGGUGAGUAAUGCUUGGAAACUUGCCUUUGCGAGGGGGAUAACAGUCGGAAAACACUGCUAAUACCGCGUAAUGUCUUCGGACCAAACGGGGCUUCGGCUCCGGCGCAAAUAGAGGCCCAUUUGAGAUUGACUCGUUGCUAAUGAAACAGCUUACCAAGGCAACGAUCUCUAGCGGUUCUGAGAGGAACAUCCCUGCACUGGGACUGAACACGGCCCAAACUCCUAGGAGGCAGUCCUACGGAAUAUUGCACAAUGGGGGAAACCCUGAUGUGCCAUGCCCGUGGUGCAGAAGGCCUUGAGUUUUAAAGUCCUCC
rnacentral:rRNA from 1 species